rnacentral:rRNA from 1 species
UACGUAGGGGGCAAGCGUUGUCCGGAUUUACUGGGCGUAAAGAGCGCGCAGGCGGUCGUACAAGUCGCGUGUGAAAGCCCCCGGCUCAACUGGGGAGGGUCACGCGAUACUGUUCGACUCGAAGGCAGGAGAGGGAAGUGGAAUUCCCGGUGUAGUGGUGAAAUGCGCAGAUAUCGGGAGGAACACCAAUGGCGAAGGCAGCUCGCUGGGACGUUACUGACGCUGAGACGCGAAAGCGUGGGGAGCAAACAGG